CCGUGCUAGGUGGGGAGGUAGCGGUGCCCUGUACUCGCAAUCCGCUAUAGCGAGACUGAAUUCCUAUCUGAGGUGCAGAGCAAUAAGGUCUGCCUUAACGGACUGGUGUUGAAGUUUGGGUCCUGCGCAACGUGAACCCGUGAACCCUGUCAGGUUCGGAAGAAAGCAGCAGUAAGCGGUCUUUCAUGUGUGCCGUAGGGAAGCCUGAAUUGAGCCAAGAACUUAAGUAACGCUUAGGGUUAUGUGAUCGACGAUAGGUGCACGG
rfam:Amphibacillus xylanus NBRC 15112 DNA, complete genome.